AACGAACGCUGGCGGCAGGCCUAAACAUGCAAGUCGAGCGGGCAUAGCAAUAUGUCAGCGGCGGACGGGUGAAUAACACGUGGGAACAUGCCCUUUGGUACGGAACAACUCAGGGAAACUUGAGCUAAUACCGUAUGUGCCGGUAACGGGAAGAUUAUCGCCAAGGAUUGGCCCGCGUCCGAUUAGCUAGUUGGUGAGGUAACGGCUCACCAAGGCGACGAUCGGUAGCUGG
rnacentral:rRNA from 1 species